rnacentral:rRNA from 1 species
AUGGACGAGGUCACACAAGCCGUUGAAAACCUGAAAAGUGAAUGGAGCCAAGCAGUUGCACAGCUUGAGGUGUGCAUUGCUGCAAUUGAAUUCUGUGGGAAGAUGGGGAAAGGGACAGAAGAAGCAAUGUCUCUUCCUAGGUUGAACGGUUCUGCACAGGAUGCACUGCAAUUGCUGAAUGCACUGCAAUGCAGGCUUGAUCUUCUGGCAGAGCAGCUACCCACUUUUGAAGAAGUUCAGUCUGGACAGGCAACCUUAGGAUCAUGGAAGGAACAGUAUCAGCGGCUGCGUGCGACCCUGAGGAGUGCUAACUUACAAGCAAAAGUGAACAUUGGAAAAGCUGCUCAAGAAGAGAGGGAGCUUCUUCUGGGAGGUGGAGAAGAGUCCACUAUUCGGAGGCGUAAUCUCCAGACAAAGGCUGGGAUGACAUCCGCUGCAGAAAGUAUUACUGAGAGCCUCCGUAGGUCUCGGCAGUUGAUGGUUCAGGAAGUGGAAAGAAGUGCUAAUACCUUGUCAACUUUUGAUGAAUCGACAAGUGUUCUCCGAAAGGCUGAAGGUGAGUAUCAAGGGCACCGCUCUUUGCUGAUGCGCACCCGUGGUAUGCUCUCCACGAUGCAACUACAAGAUGUUCUCGAUAGGAUCAUCCUGACCAUUGGGUUCCUCGUAUUCUCCUUGGCGGUUCUCUAUGUUGUCUCAAGACGUAUUGGCCUGUUGACACUGCAAAGGAAGCUAGCUGAUGCUAUCAGAUCAGGCUCAGUAUCAGCUGGAAACAUCUUGGCUAAAGUGCAGGAGGGACCUGCCCCAACAAAUGCUCCUUAUGAUGAACUGUGA